CUACGGAGGGUGCAAGCGUUAUUCGGAAUCACAGGGCGUAAAGGACGCGUAGGCGGGUUGGCAAGUCAGAUGUGAAAUCCUACAGCUUAACUGUAGAACUGCAUUUGAAACUGCUAACCUAGAGUAUGGGAGGGGGAGAUGGAAUUAGUGGUGUAGGGGUAAAAUCCGUAGAUAUCACUAGGAAUACCGAAAGCGAAGGCGAUCUCCUGGAACAUAACUGACGCUAAGGCGUGAAAGCGUGGGGAGCAAACAGGAUUAGAAACCCUAGUAGUCC
rnacentral:rRNA from 1 species